rnacentral:rRNA from 1 species
GAUGAACGCUGGCGGCGUGCUUAACACAUGCAAGUCGAACGGGAAAUAUCUCAUUGAGACUUCGGCGGAUUUGACGAAUUUCUAGUGGCGGACGGGUGAGUAACGCGUGGGCAACCUGCCAUAUACAGGGGGAUAACAGUCAGAAAUGGUUGCUAAUACCGCAUAAGGGUACAGAGCGGAAUGGCUCAGUGUGAAAGAGUGCGGUGGUAUAGGAUGGACCCGCGUUGGAUUAGCUAGUUGGUGGGGGAACGGCCGACCAAGGCGACGAUGCAUGGCCGGCCUGGGAGGCUGAACGACCACAUUGGGACUGAGGCACGGCCCAGACUCCUACGCAAGGCAGCAGUAUAUUAUAUUACGCAAUGGAGGAUGCCCUGAUGCAGCGGCGCGGCGUAUAGGAAGAAGUGUCUCGGUAUGUAAUCUUCUAUCAGCAGAGGAGUUAGUGACGGUACCUGACUAAGAAGCCCCGGCUAACUACGUG